AUGUCGAUGUUUUGGAAACCGGGGACCGAGAAACCUCAACUCCUAGACGACGAAGAAGGCGGUGUUCUUUUUCUCUCAUCCUCUCAGUCCUCUUCAUCUUCCUCAAGGUAUGGCUAUGCGAGCAUGGGGAAGCAGAGGCUGCCUGUGCACAAGUACAGAACGGAAAUUCUUUAUUUAGUGGAAACUCAUGCCACUACCAUCAUUGUUGGCGAGACUGGUAGCGGCAAAACAACUCAGAUUCCUCAGUAUCUUAAGGAAGCAGGUUGGGCUGAUGGAGGGCGCGCUAUUGCUUGUACACAACCAAGAAGACUGGCUGUCCAGGCAGUUGCUUCAAGGGUGGCGGAAGAGAUGGGAGUCAAACUUGGGGAUGAAGUUGGUUACACCAUUCGAUUUGAAGAUAUCACAAAUACAAGUGUAACUAUGAUAAAGUUUCUUACAGACGGGGUUCUACUUAGGGAAAUGAUGGAUGAUCCCCUUUUGACCAAGUAUAGUGUCAUAAUGGUAGAUGAAGCCCAUGAGAGGUCCAUUUCAACUGACAUUUUACUGGGUCUCCUGAAAAAGAUCCAACGGCGUAGACCUGAUCUGCGUCUGAUUAUCUCAUCUGCUACAAUUGAUGCAAAAUCGAUAUCUGCUUUCUUCCAGCCCAGCAAAAGGCAUCGUGGACUAGAAGGUCAGGGACUUAGUCCUAGGAAGGAGCCUGCAAUCCUAUCAGUUGAGGGUAGAGGGUUUGAUGUAAGAAUUCAUUAUGUUGAAGAGCCCAUUGCAGACUAUGUUAGGGCUUCUGUUUCAACAGUUAUGUUGAUUCAUGAGCAGGAACCCCCUGGUGAUAUUUUGGUAUUUCUUACGGGUCAAGAUGAUAUUGAUGCUGCUGCUCAAUUGAUUACGGAGGAAGCUCGAACUGUUGUAAAGAACUCUUCUGGGUUAAUUGUUUUGCCUUUGUACUCUGGAAUUUCACGUGCAGAACAGGAGCUGGUGUUUUCCCCCACUCCUAGAGGUAAGAGGAAAGUUGUGAUAUCAACCAAUAUAGCAGAAACAUCGGUAACUUUGGAGGGAGUUGUUUAUGUUGUUGACAGUGGAUUCUCAAAACAAAGAUUUUACAACCCGAUCCCUGAUAUUGAAAAUCUGGUGGUGGCACCAAUAUCCAAGGCAUCUGCCAGACAAAGGGCUGGUAGGGCUGGAAGAGUUCGACCUGGGAAGUGUUAUAGGCUAUAUACGGAAGAAUAUUUUGUUAACGAAAUGUCUGCUGAGGGAAUUCCAGAAAUACAGAGAUCAAUCCUUGUUUCUUGUGUGAUUCAGUUAAAAGCUCUUGGCAUAGAUAAUAUAUUGGGCUUUGAUUGGCCUGCAUCUCCAUCUCCUGACGCAAUGAUCCGAGCACUUGAAGUUCUUUAUUCACUCGGAGUCCUUGAUAGUGAUGCUAAGCUCACUUCACCAGUUGGUUUUCAAGUUGCAGAGAUUCCGUUGGAUCCGAUGGUCUCAAAAAUCAUCUUAUCUUCAAACCAACUUGGAUGUUCGGAGGAGAUAAUUACCAUUGCGGCUGUUCUCUCUGUACAAUCAAUUUGGUUUUCCAGUCGAGGAGCUCAGAAGGAGCUGGAUGAAGCCAAACUGAGAUUUGCUGCAGCUGAGGGUGACCAUGUUACUUUCCUAAAUGUUUACAAAGGGUUUCUUCAGUCUGGUAAAUCUUCACAGUGGUGUCAUAAGAACUUUAUAAACUACCAGGCAAUGAAGAAAGUUAUGGAAAUUAGAGAACAACUAAGAAAGACUGCAAAAAAAUUAGGCAUGGUCUUAAAAUCUUGUGACAAUGACAUGGAGGUGGUCAGAAAGGCUAUAACUACUGGUUUUUUUGCAAAUGCCUGUCGCUUAGAGGCUUAUAGUCACAAUGGGAUGUACAAGACUCUCAGGGGCUCUCAAGAAGUUUUUAUUCAUCCCUCAUCUGUAUUGUUCAGGGUUAACCCCAAGUGGGUUUUAUAUUAUUCUCUCGUCUCAACUGACCGACGAUACAUGCGCAAUGUUAUCACCAUUGACCCGUCUUGGCUAACGGAGAUUGCCCCACAUUUUUACCAUCAUCAAGGGCCCAAUCCUGCUACCCACUAACUGCCUGGUGAAUUGCUUAACUAUAUAGAUAGAGGAGCCAAAAUUUGGAUUCAAAAUCCAGCCAAACUCCAGAAGACACUGGUGAUGGGAGCAGCACUUGGUUCCAUCUCCUUAUCUGUGGUCAACGAUUCAUGUCACAAGUAUAUAUGGUCACGCACUGUGGAUUCUCAAGACUCUAAUGAUCCUAAAAGGUAUAAUCUGUUAAACGUCUCUGCGUUGAAACUGAAGAUUUGGACUUGAUUUCUCUGAAAAUGGUAGAAUACUGUGUAAUUUGAGCCUAAAAGAUGCCAAUGAACUUGUAAAAGGUUUAGAAGAUGAAGCUAGGCUAACCUGGAGAAUUCCACACAUGGUUCAAGGUUAAAUGCUCUUUGAUUACCACAUGAAGUGGACUGUUCUAUUUGGUGCUUGUAAGGGAGAUAUGAAGAGACUUGGUAGAGCAAUGGAGAAUCCACCAGAUCAUUCGUGGAGAACGGCCAGCGUCGCUUUGUAUGAACUAUCUGUAAAACAAGUUCAUAAAAAAAAUUGUAGAACAAGUUGACUAAAAUUCAAAGAAAAGCAAAGAAAAAACACUCCAUAUCUCAAAUUUCCUGGAUCUUCUCAUAGAGUAAGAGGAAAGGAAAAAACUGAAGUUCAAAGGAAAGAAACACCAUAUAAGUAAGGGAUCUGUUCAUGCCUUCUCUUGCUCUGGCCAAGCAUUUGAAUAUUGACAACAUGAUAUUUGGUUUGAAGGGGGCUCAA